AUAGGAUUCCUGAGAGAGCACCAAGGGAAAUGCGUUUAUAGACUCUUUCUUAUUCAAAAUAAGAACUGUUCUUAAUACAUCCCAAAGGUCACUGUCACAGCAAUUGCAUUAUUUUGUAUAUUGAUGAAAUUUAUAUGGUAAAUACGAAUACUAUAAAAUCUUUCAUACCCACGGCAAAAAGCUGGUUGGGAUUCAGAGAUUCGCAAACUCUUGACUACAUCGCUUACGACCCCUGA